GGGAUUAGUGGCGAACGGGUGAGUAACACGUGAGUAACCUGCCCUUAACUCUGGGAUAAGCCUGGGAAACUGGGUCUAAUACCGGAUAUGACUCCUCAUCGCAUGGUGGGGGGUGGAAAGCUUUUUUGUGGUUUUGGAUGGACUCGCGGCCUAUCAGCUUGUUGGUGAGGUAAUGGCUCACCAAGGCGACGACGGGUAGCCGGCCUGAGAGGGUGACCGGCCACACUGGGACUGAGACACGGCCCAGACUCCUACGGGAGGCAGCAGUGGGGAAUAUUGCACAAUGGGCGCAAGCCUGAUGCAGCGACGCCGCGUGAGGGAUGACGGCCUUCGGGUUGUAAACCUCUUUCAGUAGGGAAGAAGCGAAAGUGACGGUACCUGCAGAAGAAGCGCCGGCUAACUACGUGCCAGCAGCCGCGGUAAUACGUAGGGCGCAAGCGUUAUCCGGAAUUAUUGGGCGUAAAGAGCUCGUAGGCGGUUUGUCGCGUCUGCCGUGAAAGUCCGGGGCUCAACUCCGGAUCUGCGGUGGGUACGGGCAGACUAGAGUGAUGUAGGGGAGACUGGAAUUCCUGGUGUAGCGGUGAAAUGCGCAGAUAUCAGGAGGAACACCGAUGGCGAAGGCAGGUCUCUGGGCAUUAACUGACGCUGAGGAGCGAAAGCAUGGGGAGCGAACAGGAUUAGAUACCCUGGUAGUCCAUGCCGUAAACGUUGGGCACUAGGUGUGGGGGACAUUCCACGUUUUCCGCGCCGU
rnacentral:rRNA from 1 species